rnacentral:rRNA from 1 species
CAUGUGUAGCGGUGAAAUGCGUAGUUAUAUGGAGGAACACCAGUGGCGAAAGCGGCUCUCUGGUCUGUCACUGACGCUGAGGCUNGAAAGCGUGGGUAGCGAACAGGAUUAGAUACCCUGGUAGUNCACGCCGUAUACGAUGAGUGCUAGGUGUUAGGCCCUUUCCGGGGCUUAGUGCCGGAGCUAACGCAAUAAGCACUCCGCCUGGGGAGUACGACCGCAAGGUUGAAACUCAAAGGAGUUGACGGGGGCCCGCACAAGCGGUGGAGCAUGUGGUUUAAUUCGAAGCAACGCGAAGAACCUUACCAGGUCUUGACAUCCCGAUGCUAUUCUUAGAGAUAGGAAGUUACUUCGGUACAUCGGAGACAGGUGGUGCAUGGUUGUCGUCAGCUCGUGUCGUGAGAUGUUGGGUUAAGUCCCGCAACGAGCGCAACCCUUAUUGUUAGUUGCCAUCAUUAAGUUGGGCACUCUAGCGAGACUGCCGGUAAUAAACCGGAGGAAGGUGGGGAUGACGUCAAAUCAUCAUGCCCCUUAUGACCUGGGCUACACGCGUGCUACAAUGGUCGGUACAACGAGUUGCGAGCCGGUGACGGCAAGCUAAUCUCUGAAAGCCGAUCUCAGUUCGGAUUGGAGGCUGCAACUCGCCUCCAUGAAGUCGGAAUCGCUAGUAAUCGCGGAUCAGCACGCCGCGGUGAAUACGUUCCCGGGCCUUGUACACACCGCCCGUCACACCACGAGAGUUUGUAACACCCGAA